rnacentral:tRNA from 1 species
GCCGGAGUAACUCAGCUGGUAGAGUAGCUCACUCGUAACGAGCAAGUCGUGGGUUCGAAUCCCAUCUCCGGCUCCA